rnacentral:rRNA from 1 species
ANUNAGUGAGGUAAUGGCUCACCUAGGCGACGAUCCCUAGCUGGUCUGAGAGGAUGACCAGCCACACUGGAACUGAGACACGGUCCAGACUCCUACGGGAGGCAGCAGUGGGGAAUAUUGCACAAUGGGCGCAAGCCUGAUGCAGCCAUGCCGCGUGUGUGAAGAAGGCCUUCGGGUUGUAAAGCACUUUCAGCGAGGAGGAAGGGUUCNGUGUUAAUAGCACUGUUCAUUGACGUUACUCGCAGAAGAAGCACCGGCUAACUCCGUGCCAGCAGCCGCGGUAAUACGGAGGGUGCAAGCGUUAAUCGGAAUUACUGGGCGUAAAGCGCACGCAGGCGGUUUGUUAAGUCAGAUGUGAAAUCCCCGAGCUUAACUUGGGAACUGCAUUUGAAACUGGCAAGCUAGAGUCUUGUAGAGGGGGGUAGAAUUCCAGGUGUAGCGGUGAAAUGCGUANAGAUCUGGAGGAAUACCGGUGGCGAAGGCGGCCCCCUGGACAAAGACUGACGCUCAGGUGCGAAAAGCGUGGGGAGCAAACAGGAUUANAUACCCUGGUAGUCCACGCUG